CGAGGGGUCCAGCCGGGCUUGCACUUCCCCACGUGAAUCCCAGGCAGCGCGCUCCUAGGACCGACCCCGGGCGCGGGUCUGCGGGCGGCUGCAGUGGAAACCCCCCCCCCCCGCCCCCCCGCUCCGGCCCGGUAUGAACCGCUACAUUCUGCCGCUGUCCGUGCUGGGCACGGCGGUGGGUGGCGCCGUGCUGCUCAAGGACUUUGUCGCCGGCGGGGCUUGUCCCAGCAAGACCACCAUUCCCGGGAAGACCGUCAUUGUGACCGGCGCCAACACGGGCAUCGGGAAACAGACCGCCUUGGAGCUGGCCAAAAGAGGAGGUACCAUCAUUCUGGCCUGUCGGGACUUGGAGAAGUGUGAGGCGGCAGCCAAGGAGAUUCGAGGGGAGACCCUUAAUCACCACGUCAACGCCCGGCACCUGGACUUGGCCUCCCUUAAGUCCAUCCGAGAGUUUGCAGCGAAGAUCAUUGAAGAGGAGGAGCGAGUGCACAUCCUGAUCAAUAAUGCAGCCGUGAUGCGGUGCCCCCACUGGACCACCGAGGACGGCUUUGAGAUGCAGCUUGGCGUUAACUACCUGGGUCACUUUCUUUUGACGAACUUGCUGCUGGACAAGCUGAAAGCCUCUGCUCCUUCGCGCAUCAUCAACCUCUCGUCCUUGGCCCACGUUGCUGGGCACAUAGACUUCGAGGACUUGAACUGGGAGAAGAGGAAGUAUGACACUAAGGCAGCCUACUGCCAGAGCAAGCUGGCCGUUGUCCUCUUCACCAAGGAGCUGAGCCGGCGGCUGCAAGGCACGGGCGUGACUGUCAAUGCCUUGCACCCCGGCGUGGCCAGGACAGAGCUGGGCAGACACACGGGCAUGCACAGGUCCGCCUUCUCCAGCUUCACGCUCGGUAAGUCCCCUCCUGGUCUGGGGUCCCUUAACCGAACCCCUGUCCUCCUAGCUUGGGGCUCAGGACCCUCAGUGUAUUAGGGUCUUCCUGAGAAACAGAACCAAUAGGAUAGGAUAUACAUAGGUAUUUAGAGAGAUUUAUUAGGGGGGAUUGGCUCAUGCAUCUGUGGGGGCUGAGAAGUCCCAGGGUCUGCUCUGUACGCCAGAGGCCCAGGAACGCUGACGGUGUAGUUGCAGUACAAACCCAAAGGCGUGAGCACCAGGGGAACUGAUGGUGCAAGUCCCGGUCCAAGUUGGAGGGCCAGGAGCGCCAGUGUCUGAGGCCAGGAGGAAAUGGAUGUCCCUGCUCAAGGAGAGAGAGAAUUCGCCCUUUCUCCACCUUUUUGUUCUAUUUUCACCCCCAACUAAUUGCAUGGUGCCCACCCACAUUGGUGAGGGUGGAUUUUACAUAGUCUAUUGAUUCAAAUGCUAAAUCUCUUCACACCCUCACAGACACCCCAGAAAUAAUGUGUUAUCUGCUCUCUGGACAUCCCUUAGCCCUGUCAAGUUCACACAUAAAAUUAACAUCACACUCAGGGGCUUUGCUCUGCCCCUUGCCCUGUAUCUUCCUUGGUACUGAGUCACUUUCAUAUGUCUACCCAGCCUGCCAGCCUCAGAACAGCCCUGGGAAACAGGCCAGAGCCUGUUUGAUGAGACUGUUUCAGAGGUGGAGGUCAUGGAGCUGACUUCCUGGAGUCCGGGCGUGCUUGGGGUAACUCCAGUUUCAUCCCAGACUAGCUGGGCCACCCAUCAAAGUGACUUCUCUCCGAACCUCCCUUUCCUUAUCUGCAAAAUGAGGGUCAUGGUAGUACCUGCCUCAGUGGGGAGGAUUAGAUGAGCCCUCGCUAAAAGGGCCAGCACAAUUCCUGGCCGAAUAAAUAAUUAGAGCUUUAUAACUAGUGUUCAUAAUCCUGAAAAACAUUUAGUUGUUGGGGGCUAGGUAUCAGGGACCUGAAGCUGAAGCUGGCACUGGAGACACUCAAUACACAGAAGCUACUUUAAAGAAAGAUCGGGUGGGGUGAGGACUUGGGGCUGACAUAGAGGAGGGGGACCUUCCGUUUGCCUGGGAAAAGCCAGGGGGGCUUCCUGGAGGAGGCAGCUUUCAAGCUGGUCCCUGCAUCUGGAAUUAUUUGUCUGGGCAGUGCCAAGGAAGGGAGCUCCUGGUGUUGGGAACCAGAGGGGCAGAGGCCUGGAGGAGAGCUCUGUGGGACUCCAGGGAAACUUCUGGCCUUCGUGGGCCCUGAGCCACCUGGGGUGGUGCUGGGCUUUCUGUAUCUUCCUCUCUGAAUGUGUGGACUGAACUCUCUGUGGGCCGAUGCAGGGCCCAUCUUCUGGCUGCUGGUCAAGAGCCCCCAGCUGGCGGCCCAGCCCAGCACCUACCUGGCCGUGGCGGAGGAGUUGGAGGGCGUUUCUGGAAAGUACUUUGAGGGACUCAAAGAGAAGGCUCCGGCCCCGGAAGCUGAGGAUGAGGAGGUAGCCCAGAGGCUUUGGGCUGAAAGUGCCCGCCUUGUGGGCUUGGAGAUGUCCUAUGGAUCCUCUGAGAGGGGACAGCCCCUCCCCAAAUAACUUCUGGGAGCAGGUAUGAAAGCCACCAGGGAGGCAGUCACCAAGAUGGAACAGCAGCCAACCAAAGCUGGCUGCCAUGCCCGCAGCACCCUCUAGGUGGCAGUAUUGGCCAAGGAAUGCUGGCGGCCAUGCCCGCAGCACCCUCUAGGUGGCAGUAUUGCCCCUUUUCUGGCCACAAUGGAUUGGACAGCAGGUGAACACCUGACCCAGGGGCUGGCUGGUACAGUGUGCCCUGCUGCCAACAGGUGAGCUGGGCCAUCAGAUGCCUCCCUUGGGAAUCCAAACCAGGAAUUUUGGGGGGCAGCAUCAGCUCCCUCUGGUGUGGGCCAUGUCAGGGACUGGAUGGCCGUGGGCAAGUUGUCUGGCAGAUGCUUGAGUUCAUGGUCCCCCGUGGGACCUUGCACACCUCCAGUCUCCUCUCUGAGCCUUGGUUUCUCCAGCUGUAAACUGUGAAGGAUAACCUGACUACCUCAUUGGAUGGCCGUGAGUUACCGCUGGGCUUGGAGAAUGGCAGCUGCAUAUUCCUUGCCGUUGGAUGUUCACCGAGGGCCUUCUGGGUGCCAGACCCUGGCAAGGUGCUGGGGAUGCCCCCCAGGAACAGACCGACUCAAAUCUGGCCUUGUUAUCUCCGAGUCACGCUGGGGACAGCACGGUGGGGAGGAACCACUGGGGAACCAGGCUGCCUGGGAUCACGACCUUCCCUCCAGUUCCUGUGGGGAUUUCAACUGUAGACGCUCAAGCUUGCUCUUUAAUAAUAAAAAGAAAAA